UUAGAAUCCCCCUGGGUUAAGUCCAACCCCGGUUAAACCGGAUGGAAGUGCCUAAAGUGUUAAGGGGGUUUUCCGCCCCCUUAAGUGCCCUGCCAGCUUAAACGCCCAUUAAGCCACUCCGCCUGGGGAGUACGCCGCAAGGCUGAAACUCAAAGGAAUUGACGGGGGCCCGCACAACCGGUGGAGCAUGUGGUUUAAAUUCGAAGCAACGCGAAGAACCUUACCAGGUCUUGACAUCCCACUGACCGGUGUAGAGAUACACCUUUCCCUUCGGGGACAGUGGUGACAGGUGGUGCAUGGUUGUCGUCAGCUCGUGUCGUGAGAUGUUGGGUUAAGUCCCGCAACGAGCGCAACCCUUGAUCUUAGUUGCCAGCAUUUAGUUGGGCACUCUAAGGUGACUGCCGGUGACAAACCGGAGGAAGGUGGGGAUGACGUCAAAUCAUCAUGCCCCUUAUGACCUGGGCUACACACGUGCUACAACGGACGGUACAAAGGGUUGCCAACCCGCGAGGGGGAGCGAAUCCCAGAAAACCGUUCUCAGUUCGGAUUGUAGGCUGCAACUCGCCUGCAUGAAGCCGGAAUCGCUAGUAAUCGUGGAUCAGCAUGCCACGGUGAAUACGUUCCCGGGCCUUGUACACACCGCCCGUCACACCACGAGAGUUUGUAACACCCGAAGUCGGUGAGGUAACCCUUGUGGAGCCAGCCGCCGAAGGUGGGACGGAUGAUUGGGGUGAAGUCGUAACAAGGUAGCCGUAUCGGAAGGUGUGGCUGGAUCACCU
rnacentral:rRNA from 1 species